CCUUGUACACACCGCCCGUCACACCAUGGGAGUUGGUUUUACCUUAAGACGGUGUGCUAACCAGCAAUGGAGGUAGCCGGCCACGGUAAGGUCAGCGACUGGGGUG
rnacentral:rRNA from 1 species